AUGCAGUUGACCAGUGCCAAAUAGGAGGAAAUGCGCCUCCUGCAU
rfam:Schistosoma curassoni strain Dakar, Senegal genome assembly, scaffold: SCTD_scaffold0009812